rnacentral:rRNA from 1 species
AGAGUUUGAUCCUGGCUCAGGACGAACGCUGGCGGCGUGCCUAACACAUGCAAGUCGAGCGAGGGAAACUCUUCGGAGCGGAACUAGCGGCGGACGGGUGAGUAACACGUGGGCAACCUGCCUCGUAGAGGGGAAUAGCCUUUCGAAAGGAAGAUUAAUACCCCAUAAGAUUGUAGUUCCGCAUGGAAUAGCAAUUAAAG